rnacentral:rRNA from 1 species
UAGGGAAUCUUCCACAAUGGACGCAAGUCUGAUGGAGCAACGCCGCGUGAGUGAAGAAGGUUUUCGGAUCGUAAAGCUCUGUUGUUGGUGAAGAAGGAUAGAGGUAGUAACUGGCCUUUAUUUGACGGUAAUCAACCAGAAAGUCACGGCUAACUACGUGCCAGCAGCCGCGGUAAUACGUAGGUGGCAAGCGUUGUCCGGAUUUAUUGGGCGUAAAGCGAGCGCAGGCGGAAGAAUAAGUCUGAUGUGAGAGCCCUCGGCUUAACCGAGGAACUGCAUCGGAAACUGUUUUUCUUGAGUGCAGAAGAGGAGAGUGGAAUUCCAUGUGUAGCGGUGGAAUGCGUAGAUAUAUGGAAGAACACCAGUGGCGAAGGCGACUCUCUGGUCUGCAACUGACGCUGAGGCUCGAAAGCAUGGGUAGCGAACAGG